GAUGAAGAACGUAGCGAAAUGCGAUACUUGGUGUGAAUUGCAGAAUCCCGUGAACCAUCGAGUCUUUGAACGCAAGUUGCGCCCGAAGCCAUCAGGUUGAGGGCACGUCUGCCUGGGCGUCACAUAUCGUUGCCCAAUGCCUAUUGCAGUGCAAUAGGAAUUUCUAGGGCGAAUGAUGGCUUCCCGUGAGCGUUGUUGCCUCGCGGUUGGUUGAAAAUCGAGUCCUUGGUAGGGUGUGCCAUGGUAGAUGGUGGUCGAGUUAGAACGAUACCGAUCAUGUGCAUGCUCCCCAAAAUAUGGCCUCUAUGACCCACACGCGUCUUUUGACGCUCAUGACGAGACCUCAGGUCAGGCGGGGCUACCCGCUGAAUUUAAGCAUAUCAAUAAGGGA
rnacentral:misc_RNA from 1 species